GGGNGUAAGCGUGCGGCGUAGGGCGGUCUGGUAGUCAGNUGUGAAUCCCCGGCUUACCUAGGGAACUGCCGUUUAGGAAACGUGCGAGAGCUAGAGUGCGGCAGAGGGAGGUCGGAAUUCCAUGUGUAGCAGUGAAAUGCGUAGAGAUAGUGGAAGAACAUCGAUGGCGUAAGGCAACCUCCUGGGCUAGACACUGACGCUACAUGCACGAAAGCGUGGGGAGCAAACAGGAUUAGAUACCCUGGUAGUCCACGCCCUAAAACUAUGUCAACUAGUUGUCGGGUCUUAAUAGACUUGGUAACGUAGCUAACGCGUGAAGUUGACCGCCUGGGGAGUACGGUACGCAAGAUUAAAACU
rnacentral:rRNA from 1 species